AAAGAUUAAGCCAUGCAUGUCUAAGUAUAAGCAAUUAUACCGCGAAACUGCGAAUGGCUCAUUAUAUAAGUUAUCGUUUAUUUGAUAGCACAUUACUACAUGGAUAACUGUGGUAAUUCUAGAGCUAAUACAUGCUAAAAAUCCCGACUUCGGAAGGGAUGUAUUUAUUAGAUUAAAAGCCAACGCCCUUCGGGGCUUCCUGGUGAUUCAUAAUAACUUUUCGAAUCGCAUGGCCUUGCGCCGGCGAUGGUUCAUUCAAAUUUCUUCCCUAUCAACUUUCGAUGCGAAGGUAUUGUCUUCGCAUGGUUGCAACGGGUAACGGAGGGUUAGGGCUCGACCCCGGAGAAGGAGCCUGAGAAACGGCUACUACAUCCAAGGAAGGCAGCAGGCGCGCAAAUUACCCAAUCCCGACACGGGGAGGUAGUGACAAUAAAUACUGAUACAGGGCUCUUUUGGGUCUUGUAAUCGGAAUGAGUACAAUUUAAAUCCCUUAACGAGGAACAAUUGGAGGGCAAGUCUGGUGCCAGCAGCCGCGGUAAUUCCAGCUCCAAUAGCGUAUAUUAAAGUUGUUGUGGUUAAAAAGCUCGUAGUUGAACCUUGGGCCUGGCUGGCCGGUCCCCCUCACCGGGUGCACUGAUCCAGCCGGGCCUUCCCUCUGUGGAACCCCAUGGCCUUCACUGGCUGUGGUGGGGAAACAGGACUUUUACUUUGAAAAAAUUAGAGUGCUCCAGGCAGGCCUAUGCUCGAAUACAUUAGCAUGGAAUAAUAGAAUAGGACGGUGGUUCUAUUUUGUUGGUUUCUAGGACCGCCGUAAUGAUUAAUAGGGACAGUCGGGGGCAUCAGUAUUCAAUUGUCAGAGGUGAAAUUCUUGGAUCUAUUGAAGACUAACUACUGCGAAAGCAUUUGCCAAGGAUGUUUUCAUUGAUAAGGAACGAAAGUUAGGGGAUCGAAGACGAUCAGAUACCGUCGUAGUCUUAACUAUAAACUAUGCCGACUAGGGAUCGGACGAUGUUAUUCUUUGACGCGUUCGGCACCUUUCGAGAAAUCAAAGUGCUUGGGCUCCAGGGGGAGUAUGGUCGCAAAGACACAGUGAGGAUUGACAGAUUGAGAGCUCUUUCUUGAUUCUGUGGGUGGUGGUGCAUGGCCGUUCUUAGUUGGUGGAGUGAUUUGUCUGCUUAAUUGCGAUAACGAACGAGACCUUAACUGCUAAAUAGCCCGUACUGCUUUGGCAGUUCGCCGGCUUCUUAGAGGGACUAUCGGCUCAAGCCGAUGGAAGUUUGAGGCAAUAACAGGUCUGUGAUGCCCUUAGAUGUCCUGGGCCGCACGCGCGUUACACUGACAGAGCCAGCGAGUAUUUCCUUGACCGGAAGGUCCGGGUAAUCUUGUUAAACUCUGUCGUGCUGGGGAUAGAGCAUUGCAAUUAUUGCUCUUCAACGAGGAAUCCCUAGUAAGCGCAAGUCAUCAGCUUGCGUUGAUUACGUCCCUGCCCUUUGUACACACCGCCCGUCGCUACUACCGAUUGAAUGGCUCAGUGAGACCUCCGGACUGGCCCAGAGAGGUGGGCAACUACCACUCAGGGCCGGAAAGUUGUUCAAACUCGGUCAUUUAGAGGAAGUAAAAGUCGUAAC
rnacentral:rRNA from 1 species